UGGUCGCAGGAUGUGCAACUGGCCAUCAAAAUCUUCAAGCUUCAUUAUUAAACACCAGAUUCCUCAUGGCCCAUACAUCCAGUUCGCUUGCACAAGUCAUUAAGACAAAGGAAGGAGAUAAAAAGAUGAUAUCUGGACUGUUGGAACAAGUAACAGGGAUGCACAGCUAACAGACAGCGAAGGAGAAAAGAAUGACCAUUCAAUGCAGCAGUGUCCACUACCAUUUCCAUACUCUCUGCCGCCAGUAGUUGUCAGCCCUAGGGUGUCCCCAAGUAGCAGCUAUCGCCAAAGUACUAUUUCACCUUUGCCUUCACAUCUCCAACACUCAUUCUCAGGUUUUCAUCCUGCCAGCAUAGGGACCCAACCCCUUGGAAGUUUCAGCUCAACUAGAGAAACUUGG